GGUGGUUUUCCCGAGUGGUUAAGGGGGGAAGACUUACAGUCUUCUUCAAAUAAGUGUGCAUGGGUUCAAACCCCACAGUCAACA
rnacentral:tRNA from 1 species